ACCUUUGCCCUGACAUUGAUGGCAUUUUAGAGGUGUUGGAGGAUCACAGUUAUCUUUGUCACAACAGGACACCACACAAUCAGUUGCAUUUUUGAAACGUUUUCCCAACUCAAAUCUGUCUUUGAGGCAGUCGAUAUUCCCAACACAAAAUUCUUUCAUCACACACUGCUUCAUCACUUUCUGGACGCCAUUUUGCAUAAAUGUUGCUCUACCACACAACCCUCUUCCUUGAGGACACAUUACACUCUUACUUUCGUCGCCACAAUUUGUGCCAUUACCAAUACACUGUGUGCAAUUCAGUGCAGUGGAAACUGAAAAUGAUGGAAAAAAUAAGCACUGUAGAGAACGAGUAUUAAAAGUAAAUUGCAAAUAGUGCAUGAGUGUGCCAUAAUGACGCAAAAGCGGCAUUAUUUUUACUAAUUCGUUUUUUUUCGGCCAAACGUCGGCUAAUUUAAUAGGGAUGCAACUACCUGAACC